CUCAGUUCGGAUUGCUGGCUGCAACUCGCCUGCAUGAAGUCGGAAUUGCUAGUAAUCGCGGAUCAGCAUGCCGCGGUGAAUACGUUCCCGGGCCUUGUACACACCGCCCGUCACACCAUGAGAGCCGGUAACACCCGAAGUCAGUAGUCUAACCGCAAGGGGGACGCUGCCGAAGGUGGGGCUGGUGAUUGGGGUGAAGUCGUAACAAGGUAAC
rnacentral:rRNA from 1 species